rnacentral:rRNA from 1 species
UUGGAACUGAGACACGGUCCAAACUCCUACGGGAGGCAGCAGUGAGGAAUAUUGGUCAAUGGGCGAUGGCCUGAACCAGCCAAGUAGCGUGAAGGAUGACUGCCCUAUGGGUUGUAAACUUCUUUUAUAAAGGAAUAAAGUCGGGUAUGCAUACCCGUUUGCAUGUACUUUAUGAAUAAGGAUCGGCUAACUCCGUGCCAGCAGCCGCGGUAAUACGGAGGAUCCGAGCGUUAUCCGGAUUUAUUGGGUUUAAAGGGAGCGUAGAUGGAUGUUUAAGUCAGUUGUGAAAGUUUGCGGCUCAACCGUAAAAUUGCAGUUGAUACUGGAUGUCUUGAGUGCAGUUGAGGCAGGCGGAAUUCGUGGUGUAGCGGUGAAAUGCUUAGAUAUCACGAAGAACUCCGAUUUGCGAAGGCAGCCUGCUAAGCUGCAACUGACAUUGAGGCUCGAAAGUGUGGGUAUCAAACAGGAUUAGAUACCCUGGUAGUCCACACGGUAAACGAUGAA